rnacentral:lncRNA from 1 species
AAUCGUUGCUUUCAUCUGUUCUCCAGUGUCCAAUAGCAGCAGUGCAAUUUCCGAAUGAAGGUUAUAGAGUCAAGGUGUGACAGCUUCCCAAUUAGGAAAGCUUCUGCUUCUGGGCCACUUUGGGCCUCCCCAAAAGCUACAUCUGAAUCAGAAGAGAAUCGUCCAUCACAUAUCAGUGCUUCUGCGGAGGAUCAGUGCCAGGGAAGCCCACACUGGCUCCAGGCUGGUCUCCGGUCUAACGACAUCCCGUCUCCAGUGAGUCCUGACCUACUUCCUCUUUCACAGGUUUCUAUUUCCCGAUGAUCAAACAACCACAUAAUCAGCUCUGUCAAGUUCUCCACUCGUUGAAUCUACCUGCCUUCUGGGUUCAGACGCAAAGCUCUCCAUCCUCCGCGCGCGGCUCCACCCUGUUCUCAAUCCUGCGUGUGAGGCCAUUUGAAUGAGGAACUUGGUUCAGGCCUCAGCUACAGAACAUUAAUAUUCAUGGCUAGUACUUGUAAAAAACCUUUAUUUCCAUCUUUUGUUUCUGUUGAGGGAGGGGUGUCUUCAAAUGGCCAGAAAUUCCCAAUUCCUGUUUAUUCUAUCCAGGCC